rnacentral:rRNA from 1 species
GAUGAACGCUGGCGGCGUGCCUAAUACAUGCAAGUAGAACGCUGAAGCUUGGUGCUUGCACCGAGCGGAGGAGUUGCGAACGGGUGAGUAACGCGUAGGUAACCUGCCUCUUAGCGGGGGAUAACUAUUGGAAACGAUAGCUAAUACCGCAUAAAAGUCGACAUUGCAUGAUGUUGACUUGAAAGGUGCAAAUGCAUCACUAAGAGAUGGACCUGCGUUGUAUUAGCUAGUUGGUGAGGUAACGGCUCACCAAGGCGACGAUACAUAGCCGACCUGAGAGGGUGAUCGGCCACACUGGGACUGAGACACGGCCCAGACUCCUACGGGAGGCAGCAGUGGGGAAUCUUCCGCAAUGGACGAAAGUCUGACGGAGCAACGCCGCGUGAGUGAAGAAGGUUUUCGGAUCGUAAAGCUCUGUUGUAAGAGAAGAACGAGUGUGAGAGUGGAAAGUUCACACUGUGACGGUAACUUACCAGAAAGGGACGGCUAACUACGUGC